rnacentral:rRNA from 1 species
CCUACGGGAGGCAGCAGUGAGGAAUAUUGGUCAAUGGGCGCUAGCCUGAACCAGCCAAGUAGCGUGAAGGAUGACUGCCCUAUGGGUUGUAAACUUCUUUUAUAUGGGAAUAAAGUGCAGUAUGUAUACUGCUUUGCAUGUACCUUCUGAAUAAGGCUCGGCUAACUCCGUGCCAGCAGCCGCGGUAAUACGGCGGAUCCGAGCGUUAUCCGGAUUUAUUGGGUUGAAAGGGAGCGUAGGAGGGUUGUUAAGUCAGUUGUGAAAGUUUGCGGCUCAACCGUAAAAUUGCAGUUGAUACUGGCAGCCUUGAGUACAGUAGAGGUAGGCGGAAUUCGUGGUGUAGCGGUGAAAUGCGUAGAUAUCACGAAGAACUCCGAUUGCGAAGGCAGCCUGCUGGACUGUAACUGACGCUGAUGCUCGAAAGUGUGGGUAUCAAACAGGAUUAGAUACCCUAGUAGUC